rnacentral:lncRNA from 1 species
AACAAGAAUGUAAAAUCUUUUGCAUAAUGAUUGAUGCCAUUUUAUAACAAUAUAUAGAAUAAUACAAAUAAACGUAUUGAGAAGAAUAUAGUAAUUAUUAGCAAACCAUCAUUUUAGUCCUUAAAAAUGUAUCAACCGUACCAUUGGUCUUUUUUUUGAACAAUCAAAAAUGGAAUUUAUAUUAACAAGCUAAGGGCUCUCCCUAGUACAAGGUGUAUCAAGGAGACCCAAAAAAAUUACAGAUAUACAAAGUCAAUCAAGAGUUAGCAAAGACCCAAACAAUCGAAGGGUCUUGACCACCACAAAUCAGAACUAAAAACAAAAACGACAUGGCUAGCUUUUAACCACCACAGAGAAUGCCACUUGACCUUAUCCAAUAACUGAUCAAUGGAACUACCUACAUUAUUAAACAACCUUUGAUUACGGUCAUUCCAUAUAAUUCACACACAAAGCAACUAGACAAGCUGCAUAAAAGAGCAUCUUGCUCGCAAACCACCCGCUGAAAAGUUAUAAAUAGCUCCUACAGUAAUGAUCAAGUGUGCAUGAAGCAAAAUGAAAUAUUUUUUUAAGUCUUUUAGAACUAGUAUGAGUCCGAUGAAUUCAGAGUCUGUGUGCAGCGGAAAUAUCAAACACAUAAAUAUAUAUGAGAGAGAGAGAGAUUUGGGUGGUAGUUAAAUAGAGAGUUGUAGACUUUUAUAGUAAUUUCUUUUUAUAAUUCAAUAUUAUUUUGCUAUUAUUACAAGCAUUAAAUUUAUUAUAUUAUAUAUCAUUCGUUUUUGUAUUAUUUUAUAUAUUGGUUAAAAUGUAAUUUGUUGUUUACCGUUAUGUAUCAUUCUGUAUUCCAUUGAAAAUGUAGUUUUUAUGUGGUUUGUUUUGUAUCAUUUUUAAUUUUAUAUAUU